rnacentral:lncRNA from 1 species
CAGGUAGGUCCCUAUUGGUCCUGGAGGUCCCUAUGGGGUCACGGAGGUUCCUAUGGGGUCAUGGAGGUCCCUAAGGGGUCACAGAGGUCCCUAUGGCUCCUGGAAGCCCCUAUGGCCUCCAGGAGGUCUCUCCGGGGUCCCGGAGGUCCCUAUGGGUCAGGUAGGUCCCUAUGGGCUCCAGCAGGUCUCUAUGGGGUCACGGAGGUCCCUAUGGCUCCUGGGGGUCCCUAUAGGGUCACGGAGGUCCCUAUGGGGUCAUGGAGGUCCCUAUGGCUCCUGGAAGACCCUACAGCCUCCAGGAGGUCUCUCCGGGGUCACGGAGGUCCCUAUGG